AGUGAACGCUGGCGAUAGGCCUAACACAUGCAAGUCGAACGGCAGCACAGUAAGAGCUUGCUCUUACGGGAGGCGAGUGGCGGACGGGUGAGGAAUACAUCGGAAUCUACUUUUUCGUGGGGGAUAACGUAGGGCAACUGACGCUAAUACCGCAUACGACCUUCGGGUGAAAGCAGGGGAUAUUCGGACCUUGCGCGAUUGAAUGAGCCGACGUCGGAUUAGCUAGUUGGCCGGGUAAAGGCCCACCAAGGCGACGAUCCCUAGCCGGUCGGGGAGGAUGACCAGGCCCCAUGGAAGGAGGCCUCCGUCCAGACCCCUGUGGGAGGGAACAGUGGGGAACAUUGGACAAUGGGCGCAAGCCUGAACCAGCCAUACCGCGUGGGUGAAGAAGGCCUCCGGGUUGUAAAGCCCUUUUGUUGGGAAAGAAAAGCAGCAGGUUAAUACCCCGCUGUUCUGACGGUACCCAAAGAAUAAGCACCGGCUAACUUCGUG
rnacentral:rRNA from 1 species